GACGAACGCUGGCGGCGUGCUUAACACAUGCAAGUCGAACGGAAAGGCCCUGCUUUUGUGGGGUGCUCGAGUGGCGAACGGGUGAGUAACACGUGAGUAACCUGCCCUUGACUUUGGGAUAACUUCAGGAAACUGGGGCUAAUACCGGAUAGGAGCUCCUGCUGCAUGGUGGGGGUUGGAAAGUUUCGGCGGUUGGGGAUGGACUCGCGGCGUAUCAGCUUGUUGGUGGGGUAGUGGCUUACCAAGGCUUUGACGGGUAGCCGGCCUGAGAGGGUGACCGGCCACAUUGGGACUGGGAUACGGCCCAGACUCCUACGGGAGGCAGCAGUGGGGAAUAUUGCACAAUGGGCGGAAGCCUGAUGCAGCAACGCCGCGUGCGGGAUGACGGCCUUCGGGUUGUAAACCGCUUUCGCCUGUGACGAAGCGUGAGUGACGGUAAUGGGUAAAGAAGCACCGGCUAACUACGUG
rnacentral:rRNA from 1 species